rnacentral:snRNA from 2 species
AUACUUACCUGGAUGGGGUCAAUGGGUGAUCAAGAAGGCCCAUGGCCUAGGCAAGUGACCUCCAUUGCACUUAGGAGGGGUGCUAGUCUAAGGUCUACCCAAGUGGUGGAGCCUACAUCAUAAUUUGUUGCAGCGGGGGCCUGCGUUCGCGCGGCCCCUUC